rnacentral:lncRNA from 1 species
UCAGCAAAAAUGCUGCUUAUUUCAAAGCUUAUGACCAAUUAUAUCACACUCAUUUGAGAUUACAGCAUUACAAUUAAAAAAAAGUCCUAAGCUUACAAAGAAAAAGAAAACCUUAAAAUCGACGCAGCCAAACAUCAAGAUGCUUGGUACCACAAUAAACAAACAACAAUGACAACACCACCAAGAUAGAAGAUAAAUCAAGAACUAGAAAACCCGAAUACAACCUUAAUUAGACCCACCAAGAACACCCUUGAGUUUCUUAAUCUGUGCUACAUCAAGGAAAGUAGUCGCCGCCACCAACUCGGUUGGCAAUUCAUUAGCAAACAGAGCAAAAUCAGUAAUCUGAAGUCCAGGCACCGCACUACCGAAGCUAACAAACGCCUGAGCACUACUCUUACCGGAAUUUAGCUGAAAGUGAAGCAGACCUUGUGGGAACACCAUAAUAUCUCCUUUGUUCAGCGUCUUAAAGUAAACAGUAUUAGCAGAAGAAAUAAACCCAGCACAAAUGGUCCCUUCGAUGACAACCAAAAGCUCCGAGGCUCCAGGGUGAGUGUGCAUCGGGAUAACCCCACCCACGGCUAGGUCCAACCUCGCAAUGGAUAUUCCGAGCCCAUUGACACCCGGAAACUGAGCAGUGAAUGCCGGAGUGACAGCAGCUUUGAUGAGGUUGGUGGUGUUUCCGGCUUUACCAAUCCCGGAGUAAACAAAAUCAGCUUCUGUUACUUUCUUGGGGUCUUUGCAUGGGAAGCCGGAAGGGGUAUCCGAUUGUUUCAAAUCGGCUACACAGAAGUCCUGAACUGAUGCAAACGAUGACACAAAGAGAAGAGAAAACAUAAGAAGACUAGGGAUCAACAUUUUGAUAGAAUGUUUGAUUUGGAGUAUGUAUGUUUUUGUGGGUGUUUGUAAUUGAGGUAGAAGAUGAGAGUUAUAUAGAAGGAGAUAGGAUAAUGGGCAAUUCGGGUAUGGCCAUGCAUGCAAGGGCCUCACGUGAAUGGGGUACCAACAAUUAAGAAAGAAAAGCCACAAUUUUUUUGUUUAUUGUGCAUGUGACUGUAAAGUCGUCAUACGAGAAUACAAUUCCUUUAAUGCAGUACAUACCCUGCCCAAAAUAUCAAACAAUCUAUAGGAUAUUUAUCAUUUUAUCGUCCACCCAUUGUCACACCCUUGAGGAUUACAUAGAUAGAAGAUUCAACCACAGUCAUCUUAUAAACUAUCUUGACAAUGUCUUAACUAGUUAACCAAAGUCUAUUUGAGCUUAAGGCUAUAUAUCUUUGGGAGACUUCAGGAAACUGUUAACUAAAAAACUAAUUUUUAGAUGAUAAAAAAUUAUAUUUAUUAAAAAUUUAUCCAAUAAGCUAGCGGAGAAAUAAAUUGACACAAAAGGAAUGUAGAAAAUGAUUCCAUAUUAUAAAACUAGUAUGUAAUACAUUACAUUAAAUAAAUUACUUACUAAAUACUAAUAGUCUCUGAUUAUUUACGUUGAAGUGAAAUUUCUUGCAUUUCAUGUUAUAUUCGUAAUAUUAUCAUGAAUUUAUCGCAUCUCACUGACUGAUUCUUCAUUUGUGUGCGUCUAUGUGGAUUCUAUUCUGUUAAAAAGCAUAGCAAUAUUAGUUUAUCAAGAAACUUUGUUGAAAAAAAAAACAAAACAAAAACAAAAGAAUAAUAAUAAUAAAACUAUUAUCACGGUUGUCAAAUACACAUUACAAAACCAGCCAACAUGCUAUCAACCAAACCAAAAAAGUUGGUUGUCAAUAUAUUUGAUAAUAAUCAAUAUGUUUGGUUGGUACUACUGUACCAAUUCUGUAAAUUUAGACAUUUGGUACGUUAAUAGUAUUAAAUUUUAAGUACAACAGUAUUACUGUACCAACGAUAAUAUAUANNNNNNNNNNNNNNNNNNNNNNNNNNNNNNNNNNNNNNNNNNNNNNNNNNNNNNNNNNNNNNNNNNNNNNNNNNNNNNNNGUUAACAUUAACUAAAAAGUUAUUUCAAAGUUAGUUAAUAAAAUUUAUUAGUAACUAAAAUAGUUAUUUUACUAAUUUAUAUUGAUAAAGAAAAUUAUUUCAUGUCAUUGAUGGUCUUAACUAUUACAAUUACAAAUUAGAAAAAAAAAAUGGUAAUGUAUCAUUACCAAUUUACAUCAACAAAACGUGUUGGUAGCCAAACAAGUUAGUAUAUUGGCAUGAUACUUAUAGCAACAUUUUUAUACCAACUGAAAUGUAUAAAAGGUAUGAUACAUGUUUUAAAUAAAAAUAAAUUGGUUGAUCCCUUAAUUACUAUAAAAGUUUAUUCACAUUGUUUGUAAAUUUACAAGUAAUGACAUACGGAGCCUUUUCACAAUUUUAAUUUUAUUAAAUUUGUUAUCAUAGUGUUUUUUAUAAGCACGAUAGACAUCUUGAGCUAUUUCAUUUAAUUUUACCAACACCAUAUAAUACAAAUUGCAGAUAGUCAUCAACUAAAUGUCGUGGGAAUUAAUUAGUCCGAGACACAUGAGAAUAGCCAAUGUUUUAAAUACCGGUUUUCUAAUUGAACCGGUCGGGUGACGUUUUCCGGUUCAACCGGUUUAACCGGUCCAACCGGAUGGUCAAACCGGCUCUAUAUUUUUAUAUGUUUUUUAAUUAUCCUACAUACAUUGAUUACAAAACUUGUUAUUUUUUUAGUAUUACAAACGUAAAUAGAAUGCAACAUAUAAAAACAAUCAUUAUAAAUGUCAAAAUCAAACAAAGAAGUCAAAACAAACACAAAAAUCCAAAAAUGUCUGGUUCAACCCGGUCCAUUCCGGUUCAAUUCAGCCGGUUGAACCGGUUUUUUUACCAAAAUCGGCCGGUUCAAUCCGGUCAGAAAAUCAUUAUAAAACCGGUCAAAAUCGAACCGCCCUCACCUCCGGUUCCCAGUUCGACCGGUUCAACCGGCCGGUUUGAACCGGUUUUUAAAACACUAAGAAUAGCAGAUGAUUAUGAAGAAGAUGAUAGACAACGACGGCGAUAUAUUUAGUUUCUCAUGUUUCCAACAUAAUUUUUUUUUAAACGACAAAAUAUAGUAAAGCAAAAAAGGCCACCGCCUAAGAGAAACUAGACGGGGCAAACAAACAAAAACAAAAGUUAAAAAAUAUUGAAAGGACAACAACACCAAUUACCCCAAUUGCAAUUCUUAUAAUUGUCCCUAUAUGUGACCUAAUUAUACACCAUAAUGAUGAUAUUAUCGUUGUUUUAGAAGAAGAAAGAGGAAUUUUUUUUUGAAGAGCUUAUCAUUCUUAACUUUCUAAACGUCCCAGAGAAAACCAUUAAAGAUGGCAAUUAAGAUCAUCCGUUUUCCGGGACAGAAUUUUGAAAAGUUAUCAGCAAUUUUGAAAGUUAACGAUAAUAAGUAUAUUAAUUAAAAGAGAAAUCAAAUCUACUUUUUUUUUGUUAUCUAUCUUCUUAUUUAUUAGAUCGGGGCUAAUAUUAAAAUUAAAAUUUAAAAUUAAUGAAUUUUAUAUGUCAUUAUUUUAUCUAAAAAGAAAAAUCUUUAAAACAAAAAGCAAGAUAUUUAAUUUUUCUAGUUAAAAAGAUGGAAUAUUCUUUUGGUAAAUUCCAUGUGAAGAUAAGCUAAGAGAUAUUUUAAAGAAAAUAUCAAAGCAGCAUAUGGACCAAGCAUGGCAAAAGACAUUUUUUGACAACCAGAAAGAUCUACAAGCAAAAGCAACUUUUGUCAUUUUGGAAGACGUACAUUCAAAAGAAAUUGUGUGGAUCUCGUACGUUGCCUAUCCUUUUGGGCAUAUCCGUUAGUGUAAAACUGCAAAAAACCUGUAUAUUCUGUUAUUUAUAAGAGGGAUGUGCAUCAAGCCAAGUUGCCAUUUUUAUAUCGUUUAUCAAUUUAGAGUAAACUGUUCCAAGACUAUUACAUUAAACUAGUUGAGGUGUAUAAUUUCAUAAAUGUUCAAAUCUUAUAUAUGCCUAAUAUAUAGUUAGUGUUAGUCUUAUACUCCUCCGUCUCAAAAUUAUUGUCCGGAGAAAAAAAAAAUAUACCGAUUAAGAAAACAUUAAUUACUAUUAACUUUAUUAAAUGAAAUGAUAGUCUUAUCCUUUUGUUAUAUUUAAUUUCAUUGUAAUUGCAUUUAAUUUCAUGGUAAUUUAACUAAUAAUGAUAGUAUUUUGGUAAAAAAAUAUAUAUUUAUUUUUAAAAUAGACUAUUAUUUUGUGACAAACUAAUAAGAAAACAAGAACUAAAAAUAUUUAAAAAAAAAUAAUUAGAAUAUCUAAAUAGUAAAUAUUAUGUGAUUUUUUUAGCCAACUUAUUUUCAAAUUAAACAAUAAAGUUCAUAUAUGGGCCGUUUUCCCUAGGCUAUCACUGAUGGCUCAUUAAAAAGGACACAUGAUCCAAAGAAAUAAGCCCACGUUAAUUCUUUUGGACAUAACACAUAGUUUCAGUACUCUUGUAAAUCAAAUUUGAAAGCCCAAGAAAGCUAUAAGGUUAUAUUCACAUUACCACAGCAAAUCUUGCAAGGGGUUUGCUUUGUCAAGAAUUGAGCACACCCUAAAUAAUAGAGUAAAUUACACGAAUGGUCCCUAUGGUUUGGGGUAAUUUGUAUGUUUGGUCCCUAACUUAUUUUUUUAACUCGGAAGGUCCCUAUGGUUUGUUUUUGUUACGCCUUUGAUCCCUACUGUUUAUUUUUGUUACGCGUUUGGUCCUUGUCUUAUCUAAAAAGACUAUUAUUUAAAGAGGAAAAAAUGGUG